UACGGGGGGAGCAAGCGUUGUUCGGAUUUACUGGGCGUAAAGCGUGCGCAGGCGGUUGUGCAAGACAGAUGUGAAAUCCCCGGGCUCAACCUGGGAACUGCAUUUGUGACUGCACGGCUGGAGUGCGGCAGAGGGGGAUGGAAUUCCGCGUGUAGCAGUGAAAUGCGUAGAUAUGCGGAGGAACACCGAUGGCGAAGGCAAUCCCCUGGGCCUGCACUGACGCUCAUGCACGAAAGCGUGGGGAGCAAACAGG
rnacentral:rRNA from 1 species